rnacentral:rRNA from 1 species
AUUGAACGCUGGCGGCAGGCCUAACACAUGCAAGUCGAACGAGUGGCGGACGGGUGAGUAAUGUCUGGGAAACUGCCCGAUGGAGGGAGAUAACUACUAGAAAAGGUAGCUAAUACCACAAACCAUCGGAUGGGACCAGAUGGGCUUCGCUAGUCGGUGGGGUAAUGGCAAACCUAGGAGACGAGCCCUAGCUGGUCUGAGAGGAGGACCAGCCACACUGGAACUGAGACACGGUCCAGACUCCUACGGUAGGCAGCAGUGGGGAAUAUUGCACAAUGGGCGCAAGCCGGAUGCAGCCAGGCCGCGUGUAUGAAGAAGGCCUUCGGGUUGUAAAGUACUUUCAGCGAGGAGGCGUUACUCGCAGAAGAAGCACCGGCUAACUCCGUGCCAGCAGCCGCGGUAAUAC